GAGGAGGAGCUAAGAUGGCCGAAUAGGAACAGCUCCAGUCUACAGCUCCCAGCGUGAGCCAUGCAGAAGAUGGGUGAUUUCUGCAUUUCCAUCUGAGGCUACACCCUGCAAGGUCAUUAUCAUUAGCUGCACUUUACAGGAGAGGAAGCUGAGGCUCAGAGAAGCAAACUGCCCUCCUACUUAUGUUGAAGACUUUCCCAUCCUAUGAGCCCAGGUGGGAGAAGCUGAAAAUGGCAGAAGGUCACUUUUCCAGCUGCCCUGUGCCUGGUGAUCCUGUGACACAGACCCCAUUGCUCACGUAUCCACCCAGUUUGGUGCCAUAGGUGGUAGCACUUCAGGGCCAAGGAGUUUGAAGAAGUCCAAGGUAGAGCUUUCUGGAAAAUCCUCUGGAAAGGUUGAUCAGAAACCUUCUCCCACAUAAACAAAGGACCCAAGAAGAAGCUAAAAAUGGGCCAUGAGAUUGUCUUUAUUCAUCAAGCCUGAAGUUUUCUGACUCUAUCUUUCUUUUCCCGUGGCCACUGUUACCUCUCCAGACCAGACCCCAUCACCUGAAUUCUGCCUGAGCCUUGACAGAUAUGUUCAGCUGCUCUCCCAUGCUGGCUGUUGUUACCCCAACCCACUUAAAACUCCUUGAGGUCUUAGAAGCUCUCUCCCACCAAGGUGCCCAAAGAAGUGUUUCACAGGUUCUCAGUGACAAUUGUUUAUUGAAAUUUACACUGAUGAGAAGUGGUCCCUAUUAAGGGAAUUCAAUCCAAGGAGAUUGGCUCUAUGCUUUGAACCGCUGUGGCCAAAUAAAUAGAUGACUGCUUGCUGCAAUUAUAUUGCUGUGGUCUUUGUAUAAAUAGAUUACUGAGAAUAGGACUCCACACAUCUAUCACCUUGGAAAGCUGAUUUGUAUAAUCUGGACAGGUGGCAAGGAAACGUAACUGUCUGCUCAAGGGAGAGCCUGCCUGGGGCAGAGGAAGAGAGUCUGAGUAGCAUCCCAGUUAAGUGCUCAAGCCCUGAGGUCAGGCUGCCUGCAUUUGAAUCCUGAUUCUGCCACCAAUUUUCUAAGUGGCAUGGCAAUGUUCUUAAACUUCCCUUUGUGUCAUAGUAAGCAACCGAAAAAUGGUGCUGAGGAUAGAGAACUCCAAAAAUAGAAAUUAUUGCUGGAAGGUUCCCUUGCAGUGGAUAUCGGGGAUCCAAUCUGUUAGUAUCCAGAAACUAGUUUUUCUGUUACUUUUGUGAAACCACUCAAGAUCUCUGUUUAACAAGCCUCCCAAAGAUCUUUUUCAAUGUGUUUAUAUGUCUUGGGGAUUACUGCACAUGUGGGUUUCAGCAGAACUCUUUUUGCAGAGGUCUGGUGGUGUAGGAAAAGGGCUGUAGACUAGGAGCUGGGAGACAGACAUGUCUAUGCUGAGACCUGCCUCUGGAGCACUGGCCACCCUCUCCAAGCUGCUGCAGUUCUCUGAGAUCCAACUGUCUCCCCUGUUACAUAAUCACCACAGUUAAAAUAUCAAAGUUUAUAUCAACCCCAAAAGUUACCUCCUGCUUCUUUGUAAUCUUUGCCUCCAUCCACCCUUAUUCCUAGGCAACCACUGAUCUGUUUUAUGUCAAUACAGAUCACUUUGCAUUCUCUCUAAUUUCAUAUACAUUGGAUCAUACUUUAUGCACUAUUUUAUCUGGAUACUUUCACUUAACAUAAUUAUUUUCACAUGCAUUCAUGUUGUUGUGUGCAACAACAGUUUAUUAGUUUUCAUUGCUGAAUAGUAUUCCAUUGUGUGGAUAUACCACAUUUGUUUAGCCACUCAUCUGUGAAUAGACAUUCGGGUUGUUUCCAGUUACUUGGUUAUUUCAAAUAAAGCUGCUUUGAACAUUU